rnacentral:rRNA from 1 species
UACAGAGGUCUCAACCGUUGUUCGGAUUCAUUGGGCGUAAAGGGUGCGUAGGCGGUCGUGCAAGUCGGAUGUGAAAUCUCAGGGCUCAACCCUGAAACUGCAUUCGAUACUGCGCGGCUAGAGUGCUGGAGGGGAGACUGGAAUUCAUGGUGUAGCAGUGAAAUGCGUAGAGAUCAUGAGGAAGACCAGUGGCGAAGGCGGGUCUCUGGACAGUCCUGACACUGAGGCACGAAGGCCAGGGGAGCAAACGGG